GAUGAACGCUGGCGGCGUGCUUAACACAUGCAAGUCGAACGAAGCAUUUAAGACAGAUUUUUCGGAAUGAAGUUUUUUAUGACUGAGUGGCGGACGGGUGAGUAACGCGUGGGUAACCUGCCUCACACAGGGGGAUAGCAGUUGGAAACGACUGGUAAUACCGCAUAAGCGCACAGCUUCGCAUGAAGCGGUGUGAAAAACUCCGGUGGUGUGAGAUGGACCCGCGUCUGAUUAGGUAGUUGGUGAGGUAACGGCCCACCAAGCCGACGAUCAGUAGCCGACCUGAGAGGGUGACCGGCCACAUUGGGACUGAGACACGGCCCAGGACUCCUACGGGAGGCAGCAGUGGGAAUAUUGCACAAUGGAGGAAACUCUGAUGCAGCGACGCCGCGUGAGUGAAGAGUAUUUCGGAUGUAAAGCUCUAUCAGCAGGGGAANAC
rnacentral:rRNA from 1 species